rnacentral:rRNA from 1 species
GACGAACGCUGGCGGCGUGCCUAAUACAUGCAAGUCGAGCGGACCGAACAGGAGCUUGCUCUUGUUCGGUUAGCGGCGGACGGGUGAGUAACACGUGGGUAACCUGCCCGUAAGACCGGGAUAACUCCGGGAAACCGGAGCUAAUACCGGAUAACACCGAAGACCGCAUGGUCUUUGGUUGAAAGGCGGCUUCGGCUGCCACUUACGGAUGGGCCCGCGGCGCAUUAGCUAGUUGGUGAGGUAACGGCUCACCAAGGCGACGAUACGUAGCCGGCCUGAGAGAGUGACCUGCCACACUGGGACUGAGACACGGCCCAGACUCCUACGGGAGGCAGCAGAGGGGAAUCUUCCGCAAUGGACGAAAGUCUGACGGAGCGACGCCGCGUGAGCGAAGAAGGUCUUCGGAUCGUAAAGCUCUGUUGUUAGGGAAGAAGAAGCGUCGGUCGAACAGGGCGGCGCGGUGACGGUACCUAACGAGAAAGCCCCGGCUAACUACGUG